UCCCGUAGCUCAACUGGAUAGAGCAUCUGCCUUCUAAGCAGACGGUUUCGGGUUCGAGUCCCGACGGGA
rnacentral:tRNA from 1 species